AGGCAGCAUCUCCCCGCCUGCAGACCAAGAGCCAGGCAUGAGACGGCAGGAGCGCCGACCUGCAGGUCUGUCUGCAGCAGGACGCACGGCGGCUGACUCAGCGGAGACUUGCCCGGAACCUGGCUGCCAGUGGCCACCCCGCCGUAUAUGGAGUGUGCAGGCCAGGGAUCAGAUCCAAGCUGCAGCUGUGGCCAUGCUGGAUCCUUAACCCACUGUGCGGGCUGGGAUCAAACCCAAGUCCUAGUGUUCCCAAGACGCCGCCGAUCCCAUUGUGCCACAGCAGGAACUCCGUUUCCCACUGCCAACGCUGAGCCGUCCCGAGGAGGAGCAGAGCAGAAGCCUCCAGCAAAGAAUAAAACAACAAGGCCUCUACCAUGCCACCCCUUCUGCCACCAUCGAUUCCACCAGGACAAAGCUAAGAUGUCAUGAGUUCAGAGAGCUCGAAGUGUCGUCAGAAGGAGGCUGCACCCACAGCAGGCAGAAGUUCCUGGGCCAAGAAUCGAACCCACACCACAGCAGCGACCCUAGCCACUGUUGUGACAAUGCCGAAUCCCUAGCCUGCUGGACCACACGGGAACCCCCGAACUGAGAUUUCCUCAUUCAACGCCCUUCCUGUGAUACGGCCUCGCUUAAGGAUGCUGUGUUUGUGUCUCUCAGCUCACUCACUAGAUCCUGGGAAGCGAGACUCCUUUCUAAUUUCCCCUCUGUUUCCCUUGCCCCUGUCAGAGGGGCACGGCCAUGGCAAGGAGCUGAAGAAAGAGCCAGGAGGCAUAGCUGGCACUUACUGAGUGCUCUCUCAGGACCCUGCAUUGUUCCAAGUCUUUCUUAAGUAUGUGAACACCCCUAAGAGACGGGUGCCAUCGUGACGCCUUUUCACAGAUGCGGAGAGAGGACAUUCUCAGAAUGCCCCGGGGGAUACGUGCUCUUAAAACUUUCAACAUGGUGAAGGCCUGGGAGGUGGUGGACCGCGACAAGAACGCUGGGAGUGUGACCAGCACAGGCCCGGAGGCGCCCAGGGCCUCAUCUCUCCGCGUCUGAGCUCCCGGUUUCAUGCUCAGCCAAGGAAUUCGAGCUUCACUUUUAGCGUCAGGGAGAAAACUAAAGAUUGGUGUUGACCGGUACCUUCUUUUUCAAAAUGCACACAAAACAUGCAUGUUUCUCCUUACUCUUGCUUUUUUUUUUUUUUUUUGAGGUUUUUGCUGCACAUUUAGGAGUCAGAAUCUGCAUGAUAUUUAGGAUGAAGAAAGGUUGAGUUUUUAAUCUCAGAGCACAAGUUCUCGGGUAACUUUCAAGUUCCUCAGAAUCUUCUGAUUUUCCAUCUGGUUCGAAACCUUAGUUCCAUGUGCAGUUGGCAAUGGCAUUUUCUCCCACUAGCGACUUCUGCAUUUGCUCUCCAGCCUUCAGUUGUGUGCGUGGCUGUGGGCAUGGGUACGAGCACCCUUUCCGGGCGCCCAGACCUUCGCGUGCUCAGGUCCCCAUUGGCAAGGGCUCCUAGAGGUGAACCAGAGUCCUCCCUCCAGGCAGGAGGCACAGGCACGGCCCCGCUCCUCAAAGUGCCGAGAUCCAGGCAGUGUAGACAUGCAGAGAAGCUGUUCUCGGGGACAUACCCAAUACAGGAAAUGAAAGACGGAACCGAUGGUUUCAACCAAGUGAGAGCAGAACUGAAAGUCUGCAAAUAAAAAUUACAGAUCCUUAAUCACAAUUUUCUCUCCGCACAGGCUGUAUAAAAGCGUGCCAUUCUCUAAGAGGCUUGCCAUGUUUUCAAGACCUCUUGAGUCGUCGUGACUUCUGCCUCUUGACUUCGAUUCGACUCCGCAAGCAAUAAAACAGUAAAAGCACCUCAUUUCCUGCUCUCCAUGUACUGCAUUAAGGAGGUAUUUCUCCACCAGAGCUGCAGCUCCGAGGACCCUUCUGCCCGCCCGGCCGGGCUGCUCAGCUGGGUCCUCUCUCCAGACUUUCUUGAGGAAGCAGAGAAGCAUCUCAAACCCCAGCUUUUUGGUUCAUUUCUAUGCCAAACAUCUGGGGCUUGAAAAAGAACUGUGCAUGGAGAUAAAGUCACCACCGACUCUGUGGAAAGGAGCAUUAGGCAAAAAAGAAGUCGGACGCAUUAAUUAAAAUGGAAGACUAAAUGAGCUGCAGAAAAGGUCGUGAGCCAGGGUCCCCGUGUGGGAUCUCAUCCCCUUCAGGUUAAUUCUCUCAUCCUUCGGGUUCUUGCUUUUGACCUGCUGAAUUUGCAGACUUAGGAAACAGGACAUACAUGCAAACAAGUUCCGGCAAGCAACAGCUCGCAAACAAGAUGUUGCAGUGAAGGCUCAGAGAGGUCGAGGGACUCACCCACAGCCACACACAGCUCAGACGUGGCCAACAGGGCUGGAACUCAGUUUUCCAGCCCAUCUCAUUCUCUUGCCCCACAGGGCCUCUCAGGGCACAAGUCACUGCCUGACAAUCCAGAUUUAUGUGGACAUGCCUUGCAUUUCUUCAGGGAGCCUCAGCCAGGCCUUCCCUCUUCUGUGAGGUCAGGGGUGUGGCACCUCUUGCAUGUGUGCCCAGGAGCUUACGGAGAAACGUGUCCGGCCACUUUCCCGAGGCUUGACAGAUUUUCCCACAAUGGCGUGAAUGGACAAGAAAAUGCAGCUUUGCUUGACGGCCCCACCCCAGUGCCCCUCUCCUGACUCACAAGUCACCUGGGGUGCCAGCCCAGGAGACCCGGGUCACUGCCACGCCUCGAUGAAAACCUGCUCCCCGUGAGCCUGGCUAACACCCCAGUUAUUCGGCAUUGCUGAGGGGUCACGGACAGUUUAGCUGUUAAAGGUCUGGGUGAUGGGCUGGGGUCAGGGACACGGGCAUGCUGGGCCUUAGGGACCACCAUCCUGAAACAGGGACCGUAAAUCCUGUGCUCACGGUUUGGGGGAGACUAACAGGAGGUGAUCUUCAAUGUGCCGUGUGGAUUCGGGGGACACAACGGUCGGUCCACAGCAGCUGUGUGACACCUGCAGAGCAGCAGUGGGCCUCGCAAGCCCAGGCUGCACAGGAUGAGGGCUGAUCCUGUGGCAACCCGUACUCCAUCCCCCGCACGCCACGCGGCUUGCCCGCAGUGUCCAAGGUCAGGGAAGCGGUCAUGACCGUGAUUCAGCAGGAAGCAGACAAGAGAGCAGAGCCAAAAGGCCUGGGUUCUCCUCUCAGCUCUGACACUAACACUACCGGAUUUAAUAGCAUUUGUCGUCCAGACCCAGGGCGUCACACGCGAGGAGUCACAGGCAGGGAAAAGAAAGCUGCGGUGCUGCAAUCAGUCCAGGCUGAGGCCAUGUUCGCGGGGGUGGAUCCAACAGUUUUACCAUCUGCUCUAAAAGGCCAGCACCUGCCAAGGGGAAACUCCUCCUCUCCAGGCCCUGCCUCCUGAGGUGCUGACAUCCCUAACCCCUUCGGACGUCAGAAGGUGGCCACUCCAGAGCUUAAGCGACUUCACGAGGCCUCAUGGUUAGAAACUUCCAGAGCUGGCAUUUGAUGCCAGGUCUGCUGGAUUCUAAAACACGCCCUCUUCUCACCUAAGACCUUGCAGAGACCUGUCCCCAAGGAAGCUGGACUUGGUCUGCCACUCACUGCUGUUAUAGAAGAAGGACGGAGAGGUGGUUGCCUGUGUGGGCCAUUGCACUGGGAGGGGACAGGGCACAGAAGCUGAGGACUCAGAAGGGAAGUUCUGUCAAGGUAGUGACCCGCCUGUUCAGUUGUAAGGUGCAAGCUUCAUUUUCCGUCUGUGCCCACUCUGCUUUGCGUCUGUUGCCAUGGUUACUUCUAGUAGGGGAUAAAGGAGUCUGGCCACUGUCCGGCUGCUGGGCUGUCCUGAGGUCAUUUUACACCCAGUGUUUUCUCUGUCUUUAUUUUUUUUUUAGCCACACACGUGGCUUAUGGAAGUCUCCAGGACCAGGGAUGAAAUCCGAGUUCAGCUGCAGCCUACACCACAACUGCAGCAAUGCUGGAUCCUUAACCCACGGCACCACAGUGGGAACUCCUACAUUUUCUCUAUCCUUGAAUCGCAGCAAACUUGAACCUUCAGAAUGGCAAUGUCAAGUGUAGACAACGCAUGCUGAACUCCUUCCUGACUUGGGCAAAUAAGGGGGAUCCGAUCAUUUCACAGCAAGGCGGCCUCUGGUCAGCUCUCAUUAAUACCAUUCUCUCAGGGAGGUUUCCUCUGCCAGCAAUGCCCGUCCCCUUUAUAGGAAAAGACUCAGCAGUGGGCUAUAAGGAAAACUCUGACUGAUCAUUAUGCAAAGAUGACUAUUUCUUCACGACACGCGUGUCCGGGAGAGGAGACGGCAGCAGCCUCUCCUGGCGAGGCAGGAAGCAGGCCGCUGCAACCCUGCCUAAUUUCUGUCUGUCGUCUUUGAGGGUAGCUGGCUGGGGUAGGAUGGCCACGUCCGGGCAUAUGCCAUGAAUAGUCUUAGCUGCGGGCAUCGGACCGAGGAUGAGGGCGGUGCCUGUGUGCGCUGUUUGGGACUCAAAGUGUUUCUGCAUCUGUGCAUUUCAGGAGCCCACUAGAAACUUAUUUUCCCUGUGUUGCAAAGAAGAAGUCACGGGGUCGCCGGUAAGUGAGUGCAGCUGAUGCACGCCGCCCGCCUCGGCGCCAGCUCCUGCGCUCCUCAUUUCCAGUCCUAAGGACGACUCGGCGCCUUGGCUAUUUAUUGCCAUCCCCAGCCUUACCCCUGAGGACGCCAAAGCAGAAGAAGGUGAGGAGGCAGCGGCACUGUGGCACUGGAACCCUAUCUACCUGCCAGGGUGUUUUCCUGUGUGGGCGGCGCUGAAGGCUGCACGGUCUCAGGGUUCUCGGGGGACAGGCUUCUGCCUCAGAGAAGCUGAGCAUCUUGGCCAAAGUGACAAAGCCAGCAGUGGACCUUGGUGGGACACCCGUCCUUAGGCUCUGGGGCAUUUUAUUUGCUGCCGAGAUGUCCCUAAAGAAUAGUUCCCUGGGAUGGGUCACAAAAAUCAAUUGAAUGGAAGAAAGUUGCUAAAAGGAAGGAGACGCUCCAGGAAAGUUUUUAUCCAAGGGAUUUGGGACAAAAACAACGGCCUCCAAGAGAAAAGUGGAUGAGGUCUUGUUUCCUAUGGGUCUGGGUACCAGGAAAAUAUUCACAUGGGUGCUUUAUUUACACCAGCAGCCGCCGCCUGCUGGGAACUUGCGGCUUAGAUAAGAGAAGAUUCAGAGCUUCUGAACCCUCCCGGGCUACACAGGUGCAUGUGGGAGGGAUUUAAACUCAAUUUUUCAUCACAAACACUCACUGAAUCAGGUUACUUUUUUUUUUUUUUCUUUUUAGGCUGCCCCCAUGGCAUACGGAGGUUCCCAGCCUAGGGGUCGAAUUGGAGUUGCACCUGCCGGCCUACACCACAGCCACAGUAACAUCAGAGCCGAGCUGCAUCUGCGACUUACACCACAGCUCAUGGCAACGCCAGACCCUUAACCCACUGAGCAAGAGGCCAGGGAUGGAACCCGCAACUUCACAGUUCCUAGUCAGAUUCAUUUCCACUGUACCAGGAUGGGAACUCCGAAUCAGGUUACUUUUAACUGGAAAAAUACUGCAUUCAUCUGGCAAUGCCUGCCUACAGUGAAUACAAAUACGCGGUGAGCAGUGAGAGCUGAAUCACCCAUUGACCUUGAAGGAAAAGACGGCCCCUCUGACUGCAAGCAGCAAAACCGACCUGGAGUGUCAGACUCAGAAGCGCAUUGUGAGAAAGGAGGUGUGGGAUCUGUAUACGGUUUAGCUAGUCACCCGGGGACACCCAGUUGAUUCCUCCUGUGCCAAAGACUCACAUCCAGAAUUAAAAAGGCUUUGUUCA
ensembl:lncRNA